rnacentral:misc_RNA from 1 species
GAUGAAGAACGCAGCGAAAUGCGAUAAGUAAUGCGAAUUGCAGAAUUCCAGUGAGUCAUCGAAUCUUUGAACGCACAUUGCGCCCCCUGGUAUUCCGGGGGGCAUGCCUGUCCGAGCGUCAUUACAACCCUCAAGCUCAGCUUGGUGUUGGGCCCCGCCGCCCCGGCGGGCCCUAAAGUCAGUGGCGGUGCCGUCCGGCUCCGAGCGUAGUAAUUCUUCUCGCUCUGGAGGUCCGGUCGUGUGCUCGCCAGCAACCCCCAAUUUUUUUCAGGUUGACCUCGGAUCAGGUAGGGAUACCCGCUGAACUUAAGCAUAUCAAUAAGCGGAGGA